UACGGUUCCGGAACCACCCGGUUCCGGUUCUGGCGGUUCCGGAACCGCGGGUCUGGCGGUUCCAGGCGGUUCCCGGCGGGUCUGGCGGUUCCAGGCCGUUCCCGGCGGUUCCGACCUUUUUUUUUUUUAAUUAAAUAUCUUGUAUAGUAGUGAUUAGUAUAUUGUAGAAUAUAUUUUUAUAUGGUGUACUAUGUUCUUA
rnacentral:lncRNA from 1 species